AAACCAUGUUGAGGACACCUUCUCAGCAGAUCUUUGAAUCUUUCCCAUGCUUCAUAAAAUGGUUCUAAGUCAGAUUGUCUAAAUUGACCAAUCUCGCUCUGAAGUU
rnacentral:snoRNA from 1 species